rnacentral:rRNA from 1 species
AUGUCAUUCGUGGCGGCCAUCCCCGGCUCCCCGAUGGCUACAAGGGCACCCCAAGCCCAUCCUCCCUCCCCCGGUCGAACCCUAGCCGCCUCUCCUUCCUCUCCAUCGUGCCGUGACCUCCUCUGCUCGCACCGCCCGAGCGACACCGUCGCCAUGCCGCCUCCACAGACGCGGCCACCGGCCUCCCCAAGCCCUGAGACCGCGACCAGGAGGACAGCCACCUUCGACUUCGUCCAUCCCGCGCAUCAAAUCAAGCGGAGCCGCACCGAAUCGCCGCCAUCGAGUUCGUCUUCGACCUCCUGCACCGCCGGCCGUCAUCGUCGAUUCGCUCAACCCCGACCGUCCCCGGCCUCCCCAACCACGUUCGCGGCUCCUUGA